GGUAAAUUAUUCUUAAGGUUCCCGAAAACAAAUUUAAUUGUUAUGGCAGCUCCGCUCAACCCUUGGUCAGGCGUGGCGGCGAUGAAUCUGGGGAUGGCGGCGAGGCAUGGGCUUCUGGUCGAUUUCAACAAUGCGGCCGCCGCCGUUAAUUCUGUGAACGCCCUUGUCCCAUGUUGCGUUACGUCCUCUCUUUUCAUCGAUCGCUACCACGUCCAACAGCUUUUAAAACUGUACCUCAGUCUCCUCUCGUUUCGUCGAGAAAGUGGCUUCCGGUGAUGUGAUCGCCUCUCAGCUCGACCAUGAAAUCUAGCUCCACCCGCCCCCUCUUAUGGACGAUGUUGGUACCACGGUGCCGGUGGUGUGGCGAUGCAAGGGAAUUUUUAUCAGGUUUAUUUUUCCAUUUUCCCCAUUAAAUCAUAUAUUUUUAUCUUUGGUUCGUAGUUUCGUUCUUUAAUUGGCUUGCCGUUGCUUGUUGUAUAGAGCAUUUUUUGAAUGUUUGGAGAAUAAUGGAGGGGAAGUACCAAGGUGAAAGGGCGUGCGAACUGUAGCAGUGUUGCGUCAUCCACUACCCCAGUACCCCACAAGAUUCUUUCCACUUAUGGUGCAUAUGAUGACUUUACACUUGAUCUCUGAGCUUUCAGGUAAGUAAAUAUGCUAAUGAAACUAUCUUCUGAUGCACCAUGUUCUUUUACUGGUAUGUUUUCCUUUAUGCUGAUUGUGAUUUUUGAAUGUAGUACUGUCAUUGAGAAUGCCGUUGUCUUUUGGGGCCAAGGUUCACCUUUUUUUAUUUAUCGGUUUUCAUGAAAAGGAAAUGUAUAUAUUUUUUGUGUCAAAGUUUCAUUUUUUAAUUUUUUUGGUUGCUUCUUGAUUUGCAUGAAGAGUAUCUAAUUUUAAAUAUGAUUGUUGUUGUUGUUAAAUAGCAAUCUUCAUAAUUAAAGAUUAUGAAGAUUGCUAUUUGCUACUUUUGAAGGUAGUACUGCCUUCAAAAAUGCUUUUUUUUUGGGGCAAACUUAUUGUGCAUAUGAUGGCUUUACACUUGAUCUCUGAGCUUUCAGGUAAGUAGAUAUGCUGACUGAAAUUCUCUUCUGAUGCACCACCAUCUUUAACUGGUAUUUUUUCCUUUAUAAUGAUUAGUAUUUUUGAAGGUAGUACUGUCAUCGAAAAUGCCUUUGUCUUUUGGGCAAAGUUUCAGCUUUUUUUUUGGAUUGAUUUUCAUGAAAGGACAAUGUAUAUAGCUUUUGUGUCAAAGUUUCUUCUUUAGUUGUUAUUUGUUGCU